ensembl:lncRNA
AAGCAAGAAAGUGUCCCUCAUUUGGGGUUGAGGAAGUUGGCAGCCUAAACCUAUGGCAGCAUCCUGAGAUCAUCAAGCGGACAUACAGUAUACGCACAAUUGAAGGUCCCGCUGCCAGAGGAGCAGCACACAUUCAUCACCACCAUCAGGACCACCUUCCUCCUCAACAAGACCAUCAGACGCCAUCACCACCCUUUUGGAAAACCUGUGCCUUCAACCAGCCCCAGCAGUGACACUUUGUUUUUGGAGAGACUCUUUAUCAAGAGCUGCAGAGGAAUGCCAGAGACCAUUUCUACAAGCUGUUUUCUGUACUGGCAGAGGACCAGGCUGCCCUCCCUUGGAACUAUGCAGGGUGUGUCACGUGCAAUUUUCCUGCCAUGCUCUGGACAUUUUAAUGACACAACGUGAUACUGAUUUACUUUAUAUCGAGAGAAAUUCCUAUCUGUGCAAUAUCGGUCUAUAUUAUGGUGAAGCUGUUACGUCGAAGUAGACUUUGGAUAACUUUUGCUCACGCUUAUUUUUUUAAAGCUGUUUCUCCUGAUUUCUAUUUUUCUAAAAUAAACAAAUAAAUAAACGCUACCAGUGGACGUGAAACCCAAGCACAGCGGAGGUCGUACUCUCAGAAUAUAUAUAUAUAUAUAUAUAUAUAUAUAUAUAUUUAAAAAAAAACAUACGGUCUCCUUUCUUUUGAACGGCCAAAGCCAUAGCCUGCAAACCUCAACAUUGGCUUCAUUUGGUCAGGAGCUCGCAAAGGAAAGGACUGAUGAAGCACUGUGUGCGCUCUUGCUUACUUUCUUCUUAAUCCUGCAGUAACACUUAAGUAUUUAAGUAAGCCAGAGGUGGAUGUGUGGGAAGAUUUGGUCUUGAUUUGGAUGUGAAGUUAACCGAAUCGAGUAGUUAGCCAUUCUCUAUACCUUUUUGUGGCCUGUUUUUUUUUUUUUUUUUUUUUUUUGUAUUUCUUCCUGCAUAUCAAGGCAUUAUCUGGUGUUUGUACAUGUGCGAGUGUGUUCGAAUGCAGGUUUACGAAUAGACUGUUGGUUAUGUUCUCACCCUCUUUACCUGAGACCUUGUGAAUAAGUGGAAAUUGUGUCUCUUAAGCUGCUCUCCUCGUGCCGUGUGGACUGGAUAUACCCAGCAUUAUAGAAAUUACUGUCCUUCAAAAUGUCCUUGAACAGUCAAUUCAUCCAGUACCUCGCAUGCAGUGUUACAUUUUACGAUUAGAUGUAACGGUCACUAGUACUGUGUUUUGUCAUGGGUUUUAAUUAAGUCAGUGUAAAGUCAACAGAUAUUCCCGACUUGACAAAGGAACAUGUCUUUUGCCAUUUUUAUUUUGAACUCGGGGAACGUGGCAACGGUCAGACAUAUUCAUUGUAAUCUUCAUAAUUUACAGGGUGAUGCAAGGUGAUGGAAACAUUCUCACAACAUUCUCAAAACUGUAAUACAUCGAUGCAAGUAGUGUGUAAUUAUGGAUAUUCCAGUGUGAGCACAAUGGAAAGCAGUCUUCAGGGUUUUACAGGG